CCUACGGGUGGCAGCAGUGAGGAAUAUUGGUCAAUGGCCGCAAGCCUGAACCAGCCAAGUAGCGUGAGGGAAGACUGCCCUAUGGGUUGUAAACCUCUUUUAUGCGGGGAUAAAGGUGUCCACGAGUGGAGGAUUGCAGGUACCGCAUGAAAAAGGACCGGCUAAUUCCGUGCCAGCAGCCGCGGUAAUACGGAAGGUCCGGGCGUUAUCCGGAUUUAUUGGGUUUAAAGGGUGCGUAGGCCGGUCCUUAAGCGUGCCGUGAAAUUUUGGGGCUCAACCAUGUGUGUGCGGGGCGAACUGGAGACCUUGAGUGCGCGAUAGGCAGGCGGAAUUCGUGGUGUAGCGGUGAAAUGCUUAGAUAUCGCGAAGAACCCCGAUUGCGAAGGCAGCCUGCCGCAGCGUGACUGACGCUGAGGCUCGAAAGCGCGGGGAUCGAACAGGAUUAGAUACCCGAGUAGUC
rnacentral:rRNA from 1 species